rnacentral:sRNA from 1 species
CAAAUGCCAGUCUUCUUGGAGGAGGAGGUGUGGAUGGCUGUAUUCAUAGAGCAGCCGGCCCCUGUUUGCUAGCUGAAUGUCGUAACCUGAAUGGCUGUGAUACUGGACAUGCAAAAAUCACAUGUGGCUAUGACCUGCCUGCAAAAUCAAAUUUGGAUGCCAGAAAGCUAUUGAAACUGAAUCGUCUCCUACACCUGAAGAGAUCUAUUACUUCAAUCACUCCACCGAAAAAUCCACCAAAGAUUAAACACGCUGUUAUCAGUCCUGGAGCCUGAGUACACUGUGAUGGCUUCAUGUUGUCAGCUGCGUUUUCUCAUGCCCUACACUGCAGACUGAAAAAGGAUGCUCCACAGCCAGCCUUAACACCACGCACCAAGCCUGCCACAGGCAUCCUCUCUUCUACUCCAAGCUGCUGAGGGACAGGAAAUGGAGGUGCUGAGCUAUGAGGCUUGCAGGGUUUGUCUGCACUGCAUUCAGCUUGCCAGUCCCCAGGAGAGCUGGCAUGCUGCUUCAGAUCCAGGAAGAAAAGGAGAGUGCCAAUCAGAUAUAUACACUUCUGUAAAUCUCCAGUUAGUUUCAGAGCUGUCAUUUGCUUGUAGAAAUUUUAUGGUGUUUACAUGACUGACCCAGACAGCAAGAGCUAGUGAUGCCCCUCUGUUGUAACUACAUGGCCAGAGGGACAUGCAACCCAAUUAAAUAAAAGUAAUUUUAAGCACACAUCCUGAUUUGGAGAAGCAUUUGGACAAUAACAUAGUGUCAGUGUGAGUCACUUA